AUGCAAAUAACCAUGCAAUUAUACACAGUACACACACAUAUAUCAUGUAGACACAAACUUUUAUUUUGGAUGCGAUUAAUCGAGAUUAAUCUUUUCCCAGCCCUACGCUUAGAUAAAGAUUUUUCGUUGUUGUACUAUGGCAUGCGGUCAUUUUCAAGAGGUUCGGCCAAGGGCGACAUCUGUUGGUGAAACUGCAAUUAGAAAAAAAAAAACACAAUCUCAGUGUUUGUAUAUUUUCAUAUUCACAGAGUUGUCAAAUUAUUAGGGCUGGGAAAAGAUUAAUCUCGAUUAAUCGCAUCCAAAAUAAAAGUUUGUGUCUACAUGAUAUAUGUGUGUGUACUGUGUAUAAUUGCAUGGUUAUUUGCAUUUUAAAAUGUUCACUUUAAAAUUCAUACUUCAUAAAAAUUCAUACACUUAUACUGUUAUUUGCACUAAACUUUUUUUGCACUUUUAACUUUCUGUGUUUACAUUGUUCAGUUCCAAUUAUUCAUUUGCAGCAGUUAUUUUGGAAGUAAAGAGAACCUAACUAAGAAAUUCUGAAUGGUAGUUAUUUCUUUGGUUGGUGGGUGGGUGGUUGGUUGGGGGGGGGGGGGCACCGCCAAGCAUUUGUGCUUAGGGCACCCAAAUGGCUAGCGCCGGCCCUGUUAAAAACUUUUUACAUACAGAGAACAAGUCAUUCUGAGGAAACAUGAUAAGUUUCAUAAAUUUACAUACAGUAUCUCUAUGGAUAACAGAAAAAAAAAAAAAUAACUAUCAGACAUCAGAUCUCACUCUACCUCUGUGUGUGGGUGAGUGAGGGGGUGGGUGAGAGAGAGAGACUUUUAAACAUCUCUUUAUUCACCAGAAUUAUUAUUAUUAUUUUUUUUUUGCAAUACAGCUUAAGAAAUAUCUUAGGCCUUAUCCUUUUCUGUCAGUUUUAGGGACAAAAAGUCCUAGAACCAAUUAAUUUGUAGGGCACUGACAAAAUAAUUUUAUACAGUUAGGUUAAUAAUUAUUUUAUUUUUUUUACAACGUGUUGUACGUGUUUGUAUCUUUAGAUCUUUUUAUGUUGUAAAAAAAAAAACAUAAUCCAUCCAUCCAUGGCAGUUUAGAGUAUCCGGUCUUCUUGGAGUCUCUGGGAGGGGUGCUGGAAAGUGCUCCGACCGGGGACUCUGUUGUUUUACUAGGGGACUUCAAUGAUCACGUGGGCAGUGACAGUGACACCUGGAGGGGCGUGAUUGGGAGGAAUGGCCCCCCUGAUCUGAACCUGAGUGGUGUUCUGAUAUUUGACUUCUGUGCAAGUCACA
ensembl:lncRNA